AUGUUAAGCCUUAGUCGAACCUUUUUAACCGAGGAGAUGCCUGGAUUCACUGAGGCGCCGGUUUACAUCGACGGCAAGGGGCACUUGCUCGGCCGUCUUGCAUCUAUCGUCGCCAAGACUCUUCUAACCGGUCAGAAGGUUGUCGUGGUUCGAUGUGAGGCGUUGAAUAUAUCCGGCGGUCUCUUCCGCAAUAAACUUAAAUACCUCGCCUUUUUGCGCAAACGCUGCAACGUUAAUCCGCAACGUGGACCGUUUCACUUCCGCGCGCCAUCGCGUAUUUUUUGGCGAACAGUGCGAGGUAUGCUGCCUCACAAAACAGCCAGAGGCCAGAAAGCGCUUGGCAACUUGAAAUGUUUCGAGGGCAUUCCGCCAGCGUACGAUGUAAAGAAGCGCAUGGUUGUACCUGCUGCCCUGAAGGCCGUUCGCUCGAAUCCCCGUCGCAAGGUCUGCAAACUAGGUCGACUGAGCUCCGAGGUAGGGUGGAAGUACGCUGACGUCGUGGAGACGCUAGAGGCCAAACGGAAGGUUAAGGGAUAUCUGCGCUUUAAGCUCGUUAAGCUGGAGAGGAAGCUGAAGAAGCAGGCGAAGGAGAGCGUCGAAAAGGAGAUCGCUCCGAUUCAGAAACAGUUGCUGGAGCUUGGCUAUUCCUGCUAAAUAGUAGGAGAGCCUUCAAGGUCCACAGAGGCGCUACAGCAAGAAAGUCCCGUCAUCAUCGCAAGCCGACGAAUUCGGUGUGCGGCUUAAACGGUUCGCCAUACCACAUACUUUUAAAAAUUGGUUGAAAGCUUUGGGCGUAGAAGCAGCAAACAUUCCCGGUGUGAGACAGACAGUCUUAUGACGGUACAUGUGUCUGCAAAAGAAACCCCCCAUUGACAUUAAACUCAAAUGCUCAUCGGAGGUAUUUAUACUCCUCCAGCAAUGGAGUGGUCGUCGAACAUAGAAAUACUAAUUUAACAGAAUGUUUAUCACUAGUGAGUGUAUUCCUUUUCUGUAAAAACUACUUAGUGGUUAAGCUAUGAUACUCACUACUUAUUAUACAGGUAUUGCCAGUAAUAUAUUCUUCUUAAAAAAGCUUUUUCUGAAAGUCAUAAGUGACUGAAGGGUGGAUUCUCAGUAAGAAGCACAUACAUUAAACUCACAGGAGUUUCAGAAAAACAACACUUAGCGCGUGGAGAUUGUCUAUAAGAAGGAUUUACAUCAGAAGUAUUUUCGAACGACCAUCUUGUAGCAGCGGCGAAAAACUAAGCCAACAACCACCACCACAGCAACCACCUUCAACAAAGAGCCAUUGUGGAUUAUAACGUGCGAAAACAACGAUGGACUGCACAGUGCGACUAAGGCGAAAGCAGCCCUGCGCUCUGACUUUAUCCUUCAACAUUGAAAAACUUAAAUGCGGAAAACUUUAUGUAGUUUAUGCAUCAAGUGUGCUUGAGCUAAGCUUAUAACUAUAGUUAAGCUUACAGUCGCAGAUUGUAGCAAGAUUUCCUUUCGAUGGUAGCCUCCAUGGUAGGCAAAAUAUUUCUUAAUCUGCAAAAAUGAUUUCGUUUAAGAAGGUCGGGUUGUCAAUUUUCAAGCAGUUCGACUACAUUCAAACGAGUACAUGAGCUCUAUCGACGUAUCGAGACAUAGACAGACCAAACUGAUACACGUAAAUAAUAAUUAGAAAGGGCUUGUUAUAUAAUCGUGGCAGCUGUCAUUCUCGGUAGCAAAGCGAAUUCAUGCUUUCUUUCGUCAAACACUGGCUGCAAUAACAUUAGCUUACUUAGAUGACCUGCCGACGACCAGCUAACAGUCGAGCUUGGUUUACAGGGUAAGGACAAUUUUUAUUAGCAACUGUGGACAGCAAGUUUUUCAAGAACACAGUCUGCUAGAGUGUGUUGUUCUACGAGGCUUGCCAUAACAAGCGGUUCAUGAUUUUUCCUUUCUUGAUUUAUUCUUGUCAGGUCGGGAUAUACGGUGAACGAAUAGCAAAAUAAGACCUACGUUAGACGUGCUUAAGAUGAUGAUUAUUACGGAAUGAUUACUUCUUUAAAAGUUGGUUGGGAGCACUUCAACAGGCAUCGAUGAGCCUUUCAGACUGGACGAUGUCAACAAAAAAAGUGCAAAAUCAAAGCAAAGCCAAGCAGACGGACGUGUCACGACUAUCGUAUGCAUUGUUCGUUUACCCGUUUCGAACAAAUUUAAUCUACAAGGAUUUAACACAAACAUUACCAAUAGGCAGAACCUCUAAUAACGGUCAUAGCUUUUUUGCCACAAACCAGCGACGCAGUUAGAAAAGUCGACUUUAUUUAAGGCAUCACUACAUCACAACAUUUUUCUUAAGAUCUCAUGAUUCUAUCACUUAUUUUAAUUAGGCACAGCGUAAAUAUAUAACAACAAACAUAGAGACACGUCUAAAGGGAUAUAGCUAAUUUUACAGAAUGUUCAAUACAGAAUAUUCAAUAACUGUAUGUAUCCAUACAAUUUCACAAGAUAACACGCUGAAGAGAACAGGCUCUAUAUUAUAAAAUACAAAAUAUUGUAUAUUUCUCCUUCUUGCUUAAAGGAUGGAUAAUGUUCUUCGUCAUGGUUGAAGGUUAGUGAAGGGCAAAAAUAAUACGCUGCGUUUUUUACAGUAACAAAAACACAAGGAAGAGAUAGUAAUAACAUCUCUUCCUUUUAAUGAAAUUUGCCAUAUUUUCUGCCACUUUUGUGAAGCAAGCUCGUAGUGCCAUUGCAGUAUGUUAGUUUGGGGCAGCAGUGUAGUGAGUGCAAUUUCUGGUAACAAUAUUUGGUUACAGCUUGGUUAUUAAUUUUGAAUUCUGUGAUUUUUUUGGUCUGGUAUUGUAUUGUAUACAGAAUUAUUUGACUGGAACACGUAUUGUUAAACAAAGCAAUAUACAGAACAA